rnacentral:lncRNA from 10 species
GUUGUUUUGAAAUAUGUAUACAUUGUAGAAUGGCUAAAUCAAACCAAUUAACAUGUGUAUUACCUCCAUAUCUAUCAUUUUAUUUUGUGGUAAGAAUAUUUAAAAUGUACUCUUGCCGUGCGCAGUGGCUCAUGCCUGUAAUCGCAGCACUUUUGGAGGCCAAGGCGGGUGGAUCACCUGAGGUCAGGAGUUCGAGACCAGCCUUGCUAACAUGGUGAAACCCUGUCUCUACUAAAAAUACAAAAAAUUAGCCGGGCAUGAUGGCACACGCCUGUAGUCCCAGCUACUCUGGACUCUGAGUUAGGAGAAUCGCUCAACCCAGGAGGCGGAGGUUGCAGUGAGCCGAGGUCGCGUCAUUGUACUCCAGCCUGGGCAACAAGAGUGAAACUCUGUCUCAGAAACAAAAACAAAAACAAACAAAAAAAAAGGUAAAAAAGUACUCUCAGCCAUUUUCAAGCACGCAAUCAUUCUUAUUAACUAUAGUCAGCAUGUUGUACACCUGGAAUUUAUUAGCAUCUGUCAUGGAUGACAGAAGUUUAAUUUAGUUAUUUUCCAAAUAAAUAACCAUUUUCUCCAGCAUCGUUUAUUAUAUUGCUAUCCUUUUCUUCCUAAACUGGAAUGUCAUUUAUAUCACAUUUUCCAUUACAGAUUGAGUAUCCCUUAUCCAAAAUGCUCAGGACCAGAAGUGUUUCAGCUUUCAGAUUUUUUCAUAUUUUAAAAUAUUCUCAUUAUAUUUACCAGUUCAGCAUCCCUAAUUCAAAAAUUUGAAAUCCAGAAUGCUUCAUGAGCAUUUUCUUUAAGCAGCCUGUCUGUGCUUAAAAGGUUUCGGAUUUUGGAGCAUUUUGGAUUUUGGAUUUUCAGAUUAGAGAAAUUAAAC